ACCCUCCAGCUCCCUUUCCCAUCGGAUCUGAACACUGGUCUUGGUGGUCGUUCAAGGAGGAAGAGUGAACCUGGAGCUGGCCUGGCGCUGGCGCACCUGCUGCACAGCACGGCCCGGUUUCAGACAGGG
rnacentral:snoRNA from 13 species